rnacentral:rRNA from 1 species
UACAGAGGGUGCGAGCGUUGUUCGGAUUUACUGGGCGUAAAGGGCGCGUAGGCGGCGUGACAAGUCACUUGUGAAAUCUCCGGGCUUAACUCGGAACGGUCAAGUGAUACUGUCGUGCUAGAGUACAGAAGGGGCAACUGGAAUUCUCGGUGUAGCGGUGAAAUGCGCAGAUAUCAGGAGGAACACCGGUGGCGAAGGCGGGUCUCUGGGCAAUAACUGACGCUGAGGAGCGAAAGCGUGGGGAGCGAACAGG